ACUCGAUCUGGACCUGCGCUUCGAUGCUACUCACCUGCAAACAUUGAUGAGGAAUUGAUGGAUUCAGCCCGUAAUUUCUUGAGAGGUGGAGGAUUUACCAUAGAUUUGGAUGCCAAGGUUGCAUAUGUCAGUGCGAUCCUCAAAUGGUAUAGUGUGGAUUUUGGUAAGAAUGAGGUANNNNNNNNNNNAUGCAUCAAAUUACUUGGAGCCUGCCAACUCUGAAGCUUUGUUGGAGUUGCUUGCCAGUGGUCAAUUAAAGGUGAUAUACCAGCCUUACGAUUGGGGAUUGAACUUGUAGCUUAGUUUUGGCUUUCUUAUACUCUAUAUAUAGGUUGUUACAACUUCCCUUGUUUACAGAUAUUUGCAUGAGGGAAGUAUCAACUAUUUUAUGAAAUAAAAAUUUAAUAGAUCCAGCUCAACACGUCUUCCUGAAAGUAACUUUUAACACUUAAUAAAUUAGAUAAAG
rnacentral:misc_RNA from 1 species